GCUGAUACGGUGGCGGCGGCGCGGGUAAUACAGAGGUGUCGAUGGUUAAGCGGAUGUCCGUGGCGGAAAGCGUGCGUAGGUUGUUAAUGUAGGUAACUGGUGAAUCCACGAGCUUAACUUGGGAAUUGCAUUCGCUACUGGUUGGUUAGAGUAUGGGAGAGGAUGGUAGAAUGCCAGGUGUAGCGGUGAAAUGCGUAGUGAUCGGGAGGAAGACCGAUGGCGAAGGCAGCCAUCUGGCCUAAUACUGACACUGAGGUGCGAAAGCAUGGGGAGCAAACAGGAUUAGAUACCCUGGUAGUC
rnacentral:rRNA from 1 species